rnacentral:rRNA from 1 species
AAUGAACGCUGGCGGCAUGCCUAACACAUGCAAGUCGAACGAGACCUCCGGGUCUAGUGGCGUACGGGUGUGUAACGCGUGGGAACCUGCCCUUAGGUUCGGAAUAACUCUCCGACUGGGGUGCCAAUACCGGACAAUGUCUUCGGACCAAUGAUUUAUCGCCUUUGGAUGGGCCGGCGUUGGAUUAGCUGGUUGGUAGGGUAAAAGCCUACUAAGGCGACAAUUCAUAGCUGGUCAGUGAGGAUGAUCAGCCACACUGCGACGAGGACACGGCCCGGACUCCUACGGAAGGCGGCAGUGGGGGAUGUUGGACAGUGGGCGAAGGCCUGAUGCUGCAAUGCCGGGUGAGUGAUGAUGGCCUUGGGGUUGUAAAGCCCAUUUACCCGGGAUGGUAAUGACGGUACCGGAAGAGUAAGCUCCGGCUAACUCCGUG